rnacentral:rRNA from 1 species
CGGCGGACGGGUGAGUAACACGUGGAUAACCUACCUAUAAGACUGGGAUAACUUCGGGAAACCGGAGCUAAUACCGGAUAAUAUAUUGAACCGCAUGGUUCAAUAGUGAAAGACGGUUUUGCUGUCACUUAUAGAUGGAUCCGCGCCGCAUUAGCUAGUUGGUAAGGUAACGGCUUACCAAGGCAACGAUGCGUAGCCGACCUGAGAGGGUGAUCGGCCACACUGGAACUGAGACACGAUCCAG